AUGUGUGGGCAUGGAGAUGAGACUCUGUAUCACUGUUUGAAUACAUGUGAUCACGCGUGGUUGUUUUGGGAGGAGGAAGAAAGAUUCUUCAAAGUUAAACUACCAAAGCUCCACCCAGGCACAUGGUCAGCAGACAUGCUGGACACGAGCAUUGUCAGCAAGGACGUAGGUGCAGUUCUGGUCACUGUAAUGUGGGCAAUUUGGCAUAGUAGAAAUAAAUAUUCUCAUGGGGAGGAAAAUUUCCAGCCUAAGCAAUCAAUGCUCAUCAUUGCUGAGAUUGUAUGGGUGCUGGAGAUGCCUCAAUCUUCAAGGCAAAAGAAGCAACCUGCAUGUUGCCGGUGGGCAGCCCCGACAUCGGGAUGGAUCAACAUCAAUGUUGAUGGCGCUAUCGACACUACUAUGGGAAAAGGUGGUGCGGGGAUGGUGGCCAGGGAUCACGAGGGUCUCUUACAAGCAGUAAUGUGUGCUAAGUAUGAUGGUAUUACGGAUCCACUUAGCUUGGAAAUCCUGGCCUGCCGAGAUGGAGUGCUUGUUGUGACAGAAAAGGGCUACCACUCUCUUUUCAUUGAGAGAGAUUGUUCCGAUGCCAAGUAA
rnacentral:rRNA from 1 species